GGAACUGUAGCUCAGCUGGUCAGAGCAGUCGGCUCAUAACCGAUCGGUCCACGGUUCAAAUCCGUGCGGUUCCACGA
rnacentral:tRNA from 2 species